GAUGAACGCUGGCGGCGUGCUUAACACAUGCAAGUCGAACGGUGAACGAGGGAGCUUGAUCCCUCCGGAUCAGUGGCGAACGGGUGAGUAACACGUGAGCAAUCUGCCCUGGACUCUGGGAUAAGCGUUGGAAACGACGUCUAAUACCGGAUACGAGACGCGAUGGCAUCUUCAGCGUCUGGAAAGAACUUCGGUCCAGGAUGAGCUUGCGGCCUAUCAGGUAGUUGGUGAGGUAACGGCUCACCAAGCCUACGACGGGUAGCCGGCCUGAGAGGGUGACCGGCCACACUGGGACUGAGACACGGCCCAGACUCCUACGGGAGGCAGCAGUGGGGAAUAUUGCACAAUGGGCGCAAGCCUGAUGCAGCAACGCCGCGUGAGGGACGACGGCCUUCGGGUUGUAAACCUCUUUUAGCAGGGAAGAAGCGAAAGUGACGGUACCUGCAGAAAAAGCACCGGCUAACUACGUGCCAGCCGCCGCAGUAAUAC
rnacentral:rRNA from 1 species